rnacentral:tRNA from 1 species
GCUGACUGGCUGACCCAGUCAGAAGAGCACACGACUGUUGAUCGUGGGGUUGUGAGUUCAAGCCUCACGUUGUGCA